AGUGUAUUUGUACUAAAAGAAAAAAAAGAUCCAUGUUUCUACUAGGUAAGUUAACAGGAUUGUGCUGGUUACUUUUCGUUUGCUCCACCAGACCCAUUCUCCAUCCUGCUCUGUGUCCUGGAAAGCUAGCCUUUGUGGAUGACAUCACCUGGCUCCCUUGACCUCUGGCUUUCAUUCACGCUUGGCCACUGGACAGUUCUGAGAAGUGAUCAGAGGGUGGGAAGAGCGAGCAGACUCUGUUGAGCAGCAGGGUUCUGGCAGUUCUUACAUCUCUCAACUCCAGCUCCUGCAAGGUGACCUCUUCCCUUCCGCUCCAGCAUUCACAGAGCUACUUCACAGCAUUCACACUCCUGCUUCCCCCUGCUCCUUUAGGCCCAGGAUGCUAAUGGCUUCUCACUGCUGCUAGUCAUCUACCCAGUACCUCCACACCCUUAGCUGAUUCUCUUAAUUCCUGUGCAUUUUUUGUAGUUCCUCCCAUCAAGAAGUCGAGUCUAUUUGCAACCAGGUCUGGCUUUGCAAGUUGUUUUAACCAACAGGAAGUAGAAGAAAUGAUGUUGCAGGACCUCAAGAGCCUCGCAGCUUCUCUGCUCAUUCUCAUGGAACCCUGAAACAACCGUGCUGUGAAGUAGCCUGGGAUGAAAGACCCUGUAGAGAGAGGUCCAGCAUCUUGGCCAAGCCUGGCCCCUGGCAGACCUGCCAGCUGAUUCAUCAGCCAAAUGCAGCUGCUUGAAUAGACAAUGGAGACAACUCUGCUUAUAAAUACAGGAUCCAGAAUUACAUCCAAGUGUGCUUUCUGUUUCCUGCUGGGAAGGUGACGGACACAAAGUUCUGUGGAGGGACCCUGGCUGCGGACUGGGACCCAAUCUCUACUCUCUGCGUUUUGCCCCUGCUAAGGAGUUGGUUUCUGUUGCUUGCAAACAAGAAUGCUGACUGAUAAAAUAUUCAACUUAUGUUGGUUAAAAAUUCAGCCCUUUAAGAGCUUUUUCUUCAUCAAAGGCUCUAUGUAUACUGUCAAAAAAGGAGCAAACCAUCAUCUUGUUUUCAAGCAAGAGAAGACGUUAUUUACCUGAUUCUUCAACCCUUGAACCUGAUUGCUCGAAUUAUGAAUCACGGACCCUGCUUCCUGAGCUUUCUGGAGGGCGUUCCUCGAGAGGGUGAGGGAGCCGCGACAGCUCGGGUCACCACAGGACGAGACCACACAGGGCACGUCCCCGAGUUCUCCACACACCUCACAGGAGAAACAACUUAUGUGAAAAAGCAAAUUGUUGGCAGAGUUUUUUCUAAUGCCGUCCAGGCCCACUGAGGCAAGGCACCACUCUAUUCAUAUGCAUUUUUUCAAUAGCUGUUCACGCAUACUAUGUGCAUGCGACCCAUUAAAUGUUUCCUAGAUAACUGAAUAAAUAUCAAAAUUAUUUGU